rnacentral:rRNA from 1 species
CCCCCAAAACCAAAAAGUGGACACGGGGUACCCCAAGUGGUCUCUUUAAGAAUGGGGUUAGUGAGUAAUGUCCCCUACUAGAAAGGAAAGGGGAAGGGUGGGGCCAGCCGCCCCGGUAAAACCAGCUCUUCCAGUGGUCGGGAUAAUUAUUGGGCUUAAAGUGUCCGUAGCCGGAUUUGGAAGUUCCUGGUAAAAUCGGGUAGCUUAACUAUUCGCAUGCUAGGAAUACUAUCAUUCUAGAGGGCGGGAAAGGUCUGAGGUACUACAGGGGUAGGGGUGAAAUCUUAUAAUCCUUGUAGGACCACCAGUGGCGAAGGCGUCAGACUGGAACGCGCCUGACGGUGAGGGACGAAGCCCUGGGGCACAAACCGGAUUAGAUACCCGGGUAGUCCUGGCCGUAAAUGAUGCAUACUAGGUGAUGGUAUGGCCAUGAGCCAUAUCAGUGCCGUAGGGAAACCGUUAAGUGUGCCGCCUGGGAAGUACGGUCGCAAGGCUAAAACUUAAAGGAAUUGGCGGGGGA